rnacentral:tRNA from 1 species
GGGCAUGACUGGCGUAAUGAGUACUGCUAAUUUCUCACCUCCUGGGUUCAAUUCCAAGGCAUGCUCG